CAUAGCCGCACUCGCGCCGUCCCCUUCCUCUUCCUCCCGCCUCACCUCUCUCUCCUUCCAAACCCAAGGCCCGAGCCCGCCACCGCUGCUCUGCCCGAGCCCGCCGCCGCCGCUUCCUCCUUCCCCGCUGGCGCCCGGCCUCCUCCCCUCACGUCCUCCUCCUUCUACCCCCUCCUGCCCCGGCCCCGGCUCCCUCGGGAGGGAAGCAGGAAUGGCGAGGCGAGGCAAAGGCGGCGGCGUAUGGGACGCGGCGCGGGCGGCGUGGCCCAGGGGGUCGGCGCGGCCGCGGCUUCUCGUCAUCUCCACCGUCGCCUAGGCGCUGGUCCUCCUUGCCUUCCACAUCUGGUCCUGCGACGCGCUGUUGCUCGACGCCACCAUGGCGGUGUUCUUCGGCAGUCGGGGUCAAGAGAGUAGGGUUUCAUGCCAUGGUCGUUUCUUGGGUACGUGGAUGUUGUUCCUCGGAUGUGGAAAAAAGAAUGGAGCAGGAGGAAAAGAGGAAGGAGAAGCUCUGCCACCUCCAUGCCCGUGCACUGCUUCCUGCUCGCCUACAGUAGAUGCAGAAGUGAGAGGAGGAGCCAUGAGAAUAGCUCCUUCGAGAUCCAGGGCUAUGGCUUCUUCUUGUCAGUUGAGAAGAAGCGCAUUUUUGCCGAAAACUGGCAAUGCCACCGGAGCAGCAGCAACAUCACUCAACCUGUUCAUGUUAGCCCCAGAUAAAUUAUCAUCUAUGCUGAACCCCGCGGACAAGGAUUCUGACCAAAACUCACUGCUGGAGGUUCCGUCCAGGUUGCCGCCGUCGCGGAGCUGGACGGGGUCAUGGCGUCUCCAAGCUUUUUUAGGCUGAUGCUCCUCUGUCCACAGAAUCCCGGAGCAGCAAGGUGUGUUGUUGCUACUCCCUACACCUCUUGAUGUUACCAUUCUCCAUCCACAGCUACCAUUUGGAGAAAAAGCUAUCCAGAAAUAAGAUUCACGGGAGCCCUCGGACGCACACAAAGCUCAGCGCAAUUCGGCCGUCUUGCUUAGUGGAUGCUGUUGUGGCCGUUGUCUGGUGGUGCGGUUAGGGUUUGUGGCUGGUGCUCCUUGAGAUUGGCUCGCCGUUGCACCUUUGGCUGCUACUCCGACUUCGAUGAUGGUUAGAUGCAGUCGGUAUCCGGUACAUCGAGUUCAGGGACGUGGGGUGGAGUGGCUAUGACUGGGAGGAGCCCUGCGACGACCUCAAUGCCUACUGCCACGACCACGAGAACAGUGUCAGAAAAGGAAGGGUACACAAAUGGGGAUGACAUUGCUCAUUGGCAGGCUACGUGGCCGUGUUGAAGAACUGGGGACUGUCUCCGUCUUAAUUGUCGAUGAUACCUCUAUGUUGCCUCUCAUGGCCUUUUUACUUUGUUUGUACAAUGAAUGCUUGAUUGGACAUUGAUUCUUUAUUCAUGGUGGAUUUGUACAGUUACAAACUGUUUGUG